rnacentral:rRNA from 1 species
AACGAACGCUGGCGGCAUGCCUAAAACAUGCAAGUCGAACGAUCACUUCGGUGGUAGUGGCGCACGGGUGCGUAACGCGUGGGAAUCUGCCCUUGGGUUCGGAAUAACAUCGGGAAACUGAUGCUAAUACCGGAUGAUGACGUAAGUCCAAAGAUUUAUCGCCCAGGGAUGAGCCCGCGUAGGAUUAGCUAGGUGGUGGGGUAAAGGACUACCAAGGCGACGAUCCUUAGCUGGUCUGAGAGGAUGAUCAGCCACACUGGGACUGAGACACGGCCCAGACUCCUACGGGAGGCAGCAGUAGGGAAUAUUGGACAAUGGGGGCAACCCUGAUCCAGCAAUGCCGCGUGAGUGAUGAAGGCCUUAGGGUUGUAAAGCUCUUUACCCGGGAUGAUAAUGACAGUACCGGGAGAAUAAGCCCCGGCUAACUCCGUGCCAGCCGCCGCCGUAA